AACGAACGCUGGCGGCAGGCCUAACACAUGCAAGUCGAACGCCGUAGCGAUACGGAGUGGCAGACGGGUGAGUAACGCGUGGGAACAUACCCCCUCGGUUCGGAAUAACUCAGGGAAACUUGAGCUAAUACCGGAUACGUCCAAGGUUUUAAUCGACCUUGGAGAAAGAUUUAUCGCCGGAGGAUUGGCCCGCGUCUGAUUAGCUUGUUGGUGAGGUAAUGGCUCACCAGGGCGACGAUCAGUAGCUGGUCUGAGAGGAUGAUCAGCCACAUUGGGACUGAGACACGGCCCAAACUCCUACGGGAGGCAGCAGUGGGGAAUAUUGGACAAUGGGCGAAAGCCUGAUCCAGCCAUGCCGCGUGAGUGAUGAAGGCCUUAGGGUUGUAAAGCUCUUUACCCGGGAAGAUAAUGACGGUACCGGGAGAAUAAGCCCCGGCUAACUUCGUGCCAGCAGCCGCUGUAAC
rnacentral:rRNA from 1 species